ACUAGAUUAUCAUAUUCAAUGUAUUAAAUUUAGAGUUUAAAAAAGCAAAAACUUUUGCACCUAAUA
rnacentral:tRNA from 1 species